UUGGCGGAGAGGUCUUCCGAACGGGAUCAGUCUCAGCCCGAAUUGCUGAAGCGUGACAUCCUUCAAAGGCUGCAUCAUCGACUGUCAGUCAACCUGUUGCUGUGGAAGGCCUGCACAUUCAGAAACAGACUGCUGUCCCAGCGCUGCUCCACAGAAAAACUGAAGCAAUCUUUUGUUCCUUGUGCCAUCAGGCAAUACAACUCUCUGGCAGGGCAUCUUACAAGGUGAGAGGAGAUCCCGGAGGAGAAAAUGUGGG